GACGUAGGGCGCGAGCGUUGUCCGGAUUUAUUGGGCGUAAAGAGCGUGUAGGCGGCCAUACAGGUCAGCUGUGAAAACUCGAGGCUCAACCUCGAGACGUCGGUUGAAACCGUAUGGCUAGAGUCCGGAAGAGGAGGGUGGAAUUCCCGGUGUAGCGGUGAAAUGCGCAGAUAUCGGGAAGAACACCCGUGGCGAAGGCGGGUCCCUGGGCAGUAACUGACGCUGAGGAGCGAAAGCGUGGGGAGCGAACAGG
rnacentral:rRNA from 1 species